GCUGCUGUAAGUCCAGCAGUCGGGUUUGGUCACCCGCAAUCAUCAAGGCGCACAAGCGCCCGCUCUGCGAUACAGUUGGCGCUUUUUUG
rnacentral:sRNA from 1 species